AGAGUUUGAUCAUGGCUCAGGAUGAACGCUGGCGGCGUGCUUAACACAUGCAAGUCGAACGAAGCACUUAAGAUUGACUCUUCGGAUGAUUUCUUUUGUGACUUAGUGGCGGACGGGUGAGUAACGCGUGGGUAACCUGCCUCACACAGGGGGAUAACAGUUAGAAAUGACUGCUAAUACCGCAUAACCCGAUAGGAUCGCAUGAUCCAGACGGAAAAGAUUUAUCGGUGUGAGAUGGACCCGCGUCUGAUUAGCUAGUUGGUGAGGUAACGGCCACAAGGCAACGAUCAGUAGCCGGCCUGAGAGGGUGAACGGCCACAUUGGGACUGGAGACACGGCCCAAACUCCUACGGGAGCA
rnacentral:rRNA from 1 species